rnacentral:misc_RNA from 1 species
UCCGUAGGGCGCGAGCGUUGUCCGGAAUUAUUGGGCGUAAAGAGCUCGUAGGCGGUCUGUCGCGUCUGCUGUGAAAACCCGGGGCUCAACCCCGGGCGUGCAGUGGAUACGGGCAGACUAGAGUCCGGCAGGGGAGAGUGGAAUUCCCGGUGUAGCGGUGAAAUGCGCAGAUAUCGGGAGGAACACCAGUGGCGAAGGCGGCUCUUUGGGCCGGUACUGACGCUGAGGCGCGAAAGCGUGGGGAGCAAACAGG